UAACGAAGCCCGAUAUACUGUUUUCCCAAUUUUCCAUGAUGUCCAUCCAUGUGAGGUUCAAUACCAGAGUAAUUCUUUCGAGAAAUCUUUUGCUAAACAUGAACAAAGGUUUGCAGCAAAUUUACGCAAGCUACAAAGCUGGAGGUUAGCAAUGAAUCGAGUGGCUAAUCUCUCUGGUUGGCAUGUAUUGCAAGAGUUAAUCGCAAAGUUGAAGCUAUAGUCUUGGAAUUAUUAGAAGAUUCAAAUGGGAGGACAUUGAGAGUUGAAGGUUUGUCACUCAUGAGCAAUCUUAGACUACUCAUAUUUCGUAACGUGAAAUUUUCUGGAGUCUUGGAUCAUCUUUCAAGAAAUCUCAAAUAUAUUUCAUGGCACCGAUAUCCAUACAUUUCUUUGCCAUCAAGUUUUGAACCA